rnacentral:lncRNA from 1 species
GUUUGGGAUGAACUCAGGACUUUCUUUGGGGAUUUGCUUUAGCCAUUUAGAUAACUCCAUUCCUUGCAUAUAUGUCUAUAAUUAAGUAUUCAGAGUGUGACUUUUUUGGCUUUGUUUUUGUUUUGGGUUUGUUUGUUUCUUCCAUUGUGCUACUCUGGCUUAAGCUUUUUCAGGGGUUGGUGUUCCGAAUACACAGCUCACAGUAUAAAGACAUCAAUUAGGAGUUGACAGGUGGCGUAUGUGUUCGUGUUUUAAUGUAUUCAGAGCCAUUGGGCAAUAAGCAGUCCAGAACAUUGAAAACUCAAGCAGCAGAGAGAUAAACUGGUAGGUGGCAGCAGAAGAAGGAGUUCUUCAGAUUGAUGGCUACCGACAGAAUCUACAUAGAAGAGAGAGAGCAUGGCAUACCAAGUGAAGCAAAGGGGGCACAAAAUAGAAACAAGACUCAGAUAGCUGGAUUUUGGCUCUAAAUGGUUCUUUUGAAGUAACCAGUGAUCCUUUUUGCUUAUUACCUCAUUCACAGACUGGAUGAAGAUAGAUUUGACUGUAUGCUUUUUCAAAUGGAGCAUAGAAAUACACAGAACAAGGAAGCAGUAGCUGUGACCUGUUUGAGUCAACGUGUUUUCUAAAAUAAAAACACCAGAAUUGGAAAUGAAAUAGCAUGGAGUGUGAUUUGUUCUCUUGGCAGCUAUUUCUACACACUCCAUCAUCUGUGAAUUCCCUUCAGUCCACAUAUGUAGACUUGAAGUCCAGCUCCCUGUGUGUCGUUCUCUUCAUUCUUUUCAUUUCUUCACUUUUUGCAAGAUGAAGUUCCUUUGGUUCUUGACAGACUGAUCUCUCUAUAAUGUAUUCUAACAUGAUUACUCUUUCUUUUGGCAUAUAGACAGGCACAGGCACUAAAAUAUGUAUUACAUGGAUUUUCCUCUGCCCCUUUCAUCAUACUUUAUCUGUCCAUGC